AACUAAAGCUCCCAAAAAAACACCCUGUAGUAGGUUGCCUACUAUUCGGGCGUUGAAAUCAUAGGGUUAUUGCCGUGCCUUUUGGCAUGUGAUUAUUCUGGCUGGGGUUCAUAUUAAAAAAGGGGAGGUCACUUGCUUGAUUCAGGCGACCCUGAGUAUUUGUAUGUGUGGUCAAUUUGCGUUUUGAUAAAUAUAAGCUGUGAUAUUUUGGUUGUGUGUACAUCUACCAUAUUAAUUCAUUCCUUGGGACCCAUGUUAAUAGAAUUGUUAUGCAUAUCUAGACAUAAAUAAUUAUUGUCAGGCUGAAUAAAUCGGAACUAGUCAAUUGUAUGGUGACUUUUAAUUGGCAGUAUCUAUCUGGGUGUAGGGUUAUUGGAAGCCUGAGUUGUCGUCGGAAUUUUAGUACCAUCUACGGGCCAGCUCCCGUCAGAUCCAGCAGCGGUGUGUAUUUAUUAGAGCUGGUGGCGCCCACAUUUUUCCGGUAUUUCUUGUGUAUUUAGGUUCAAGCCAACGAGGGACCCGACCCGUCUCCACUGGGCUAGAGAGGGUGCGCUGCGGACAACUUCAAUAAGCAAAGACGACAAUCAGGGGAAAAGAGGUAGGGUGCUAGAGCUAGUGUUAUUUGAUUCUGGUUCGGCUCGUAGCCAGUUGGCGUUGCAAGACUGCUUUAUAUAUCACAUAUGACAGAUAUAAUUGACAUAUAAUAGGCAAAUGAAAAAUAAAAGAUUUUAUACUUGGGCGUAAAAAUUAAGUGUUGUUUUAUUUGCGCUAGAGCUAGAUCAGAAGAGCCGCCUGCACAUCUUUGCUUUAGGAACAGCCAUGGAAUCCACAAUAAUAUCUGAAGGGUUUCGUAAAUCCUUACAAAUGCAUGUUUUCAUUUAUGGGAAGGUAAUUGGUGAUGGCGACAGCAGUGUUUAUCGGAAAUGAAUAGCGAGUUGCCCAUAUGGACCAAGAUUUCUGAUCGAAAAAGUAGAAUGUCGAAAUCACUUGCUUAGGAAUUAUAUAAAUACUCUCAGAUCUAUCAAAGGACACUAAUUUCCCUGUACAGAUAUGCUGUUACAAAGGCUAUAUCCUUUAGGAAGAAGGAAGCAAAACCUUUAACCGAAAAGCAGGAAUUACUUCGGAAGGAUAUUGUAAAUGGUCCAAAUCAUAUUUUUGGAGAGCACACUGAGUGCGAUAAAUACUUCUGUAAGGAACGAACAAAACGAGAGAAAAACUUUGUGCCCCAUUUAAAACUGGGCGGAUUGUACGAUGCAAUAAUGAACAUCAAUCGUCGUCUAGCACAAAACGUUUCCAGUUUACUCCACCACACCAACGCUGACGAAACUUUUAACUCCAUAGUGGCAAAACUGGUAGGAGACUAUCUUUGCAGAAAUGAGGAGGCACUGUUCGGCGAUAGUUAUCAGCCUCUAUAUCUGCAUAGAUAUGACAAUGCCAAGAUACGAGCCGCUAUAUGUAAAGCCUCUACACAUCGAAUUUCAAAAUCUGUUUGUCACCGUUGACGAACACUAUGGUGCUGAAUACGAAAAAGAAAAAAAUACCGGAUUUAGAUUUGGAAGGCUACACGGAGAAAGUUAACCAACUAUUAGAAGAACUAAAUUGUGCCGAUCGACUUUCCAACAAACCAUAAAGCAAAGUAAUUGUGAAAAAUGGAAACUUGAGUAUUCGGUAAUACAGUGUGUAAGUUAAAAGGAUGUACAUCUACAGCCAAAACGGUUGCUGCACUCCUUUAUUCAAUAUUCCAUGGCACACCCGCCACCCAGUUUGGACUUCUUCAUGAAGCUAAGGCAAUUUCACUGUUUGAACAACAGUUUGAGAAAAAAGUCCAGAGCAGUGGUUUGAUUAUCCACGAAGAACUCUCAAUUCUUGCGUGUUCUCCGGAUGGGUUGGUGGAUGAUCAUGUGGUAAUUGAGAUAAAAAGUUCGGAAAAAAGCGGAAAGUUGUUGCCAAGGAGGCAUUCGAAGGUGAAAAAAUAGAUUUUUAUAUGACACAGGGACAACUGCACAUUUCCAACCGCAAACUUUGUUAUUUAUCGUGUACACCGAAGGAGGCAUACAUGUUGAAGAAAUUCAAAGGUAAAAUGGCCAUUUUCAUAGAGAUUAACUGUAAUUUACACCUUUUACUUGUACGGAUGAUUCGUUUUGGACGAACAAAAGCGUAAACAAACUAACGGAGUUUUACCAUAACGCUUUAGUUCCAGAGUGAGUAGAUUCACGAAGAAGCCGAAAUCAAGAAAUUCGGGAAAUGUGUUGUCAUAGUUAAUUUUAGGCAAAAUAUUCUAUUUUAAAAUAUGUACUUACUUUGUUUAGAAUGUGCUGGAGUAAUUUAUUGUUCAUGAAUCUACCUAGUACCUAUGUAUAGGUGCAUUAAAUUUAAAAAUAUGUGCAAAAAAUGUAAGUAAUGACCAACACAAAUAUAUAAUA